GGCAGGGUGGCUCAAUGGUUAGAGCACCGGACUGAGCUUAUACCCGGCGGUCUUGGGUUCAAUUCCUUAGAUGUUGCCA